rnacentral:lncRNA from 1 species
AAACAACAAAGACAAGAAGGCGCUCAUCUGAAGACACCCAGAAAAACCUCCUUGGUUACACUUAACACUAGCCACCCACUCCUUGCAGCAAGAAGCAGCUGGGUAAAAAAUGAAACACAUCUACUCUAUGCUUGGUUUAAAUAAAAAAAUAAAAGAAAAGAGGUGUAUGUAUGUCUCAUGGCCAGUCCCGAAAGGUAAUGGCAGCGAUGCUGCUUCUCCAGGCGAUGGAAUAUGAGACCAUCAUCAGGUGGAGGAACUUCCUGAAAGGAUUGAACUUUCUAGAAGAACCAUCAACACCCAAAGAACUUUCUAUGUGACGUUUACUUAGGAAUUUACAAAAAUGAUUGGUUUGCUCCAACAAGUUAAGAAGAUUUUCACCCAGAAAAAUCUCCUUCGUCACACUUAACACUAGCCACCCACACCCUGUAGUGGGAAGUGGUUGGGUAAAAACACGAAACACAACUACUCUAUGCUUAGUUUUAAUAAAAAUACAAAAGAAUAAAGAUGUAUGUAUGUCUCAUGGCCAGUCCC